CCGGGUAACGGGCCGGGGAGGCGGCGGCCAUGGCGGGCCUGAGCCGGUGGGGAUCUUGGUGGAGCCCAGGCCGGAGUGUCGGGGAGCGAGCGGGACUGGGGGUUGGUGCCGUCUCAUGAGGGGCCCCGGGAAGGAGCGACGCAAGCCCGGUGGGGUUUGAGCCCUGCCGGGUCUGGGGGAAGCGGGUUCCGCUCCCCAGACAGGCCCUGGGUGGUUCAGCCGGACGGUUCCGCAGCCGCGUUUCCCGGGGCGGAGGCCGAGGUUCGGCGCCCAAGAGCCAGAAUAUCGACUGUUCGCUCGCUAAAAGCUGCAUAUCCAAAGCCUCCUAGCCCUGUCGGAGUCCCCCGCGCCAGGGCCACUCCUGACUGGCGUUUCUCCCCUUUUGAACGGCUCGGGAGCGUGUGAUAAGCGAUGCCCUUGACCAGAGUUUGUCUCCAGGGCCCUGCUGGGCUUUGUGCUGGGGUCUGCCACCCUUGGGCAGUGCGGCACGCCGGAGAGGACAGAACACGGCAGGAUUCUUUGUGAAACCCUCGGCGUUUGAGGGGUGGAUGUGCCGCUCCUUUGUUCCCGGCUUUUCCCUAGCACGGUGCUCCCACCCUUCAGCCCCCUGACAGUGUAUCCAGGCACAUCAGGAACGGCUUUGUCGGCAUUCCAGGUGCUCAGGCCGUGUGAUUGUGGUGAACUGCUCUGGAUUGAUGGAUUACCCAGUUUUGUAAGAAUCUGGUUUUAAUAAAUGCAUAGGUAUGGAUUACCUGGAUCCUCAAAUUUUGUACAACUGUGUUUUAUGCAGCUAUAUGAGAGACAAGGUGGGAAGAAAAUAUUUUGUACUCAUUUCUGUGGUUUAUUGCUGUAUCUCAUGCUGCCACUGUGUAGAUGUAGAACAGGAUGUGGCUUCUUUUAUUGUAACUUUAAAAUGCUUUAUUCCUGGCCAGCUGCACAGCUUGUUUGUGUGUGGAACAGUUCUGGGGUUAAAAGGAACAGACUUUAAACUAUGUAAGUUAAACAUUGCGUGAUCUGUUGUCUUCCCAAACAUGUGGUACCUUCUGUGUCGUGUUUUUGGGUCAGGGGAGCUCAUGGGUGUUGCUCUUUUGGUUGCCAGCCUUUAAAUUCCUUGAGCUGAACUUCCCUGGAUCAUAAACUGUCUUUAAUUGUAGGAAAUGGGCUGGAGAGCACAGAGCUAUUCCUGUGGAUCUUCAUGUGCUCCACACAACAUUUAACAGCUGGUUUUGCUCAUGUUUCUGACUGUGAACUCUUUAAUGUGGUAUCAGUCAUGCACGAUUAAGCUGCAAAAGAAAUUAGUUUGUAGAGAUUGGGAAAUGAGAAUGUGGGAUAACUUCAGGGGAGAAUAAAGGUUUAAAACUCCUCAUAAAUACAUGGGAUACUGUGUUGUUAUUAUUUCCUCUAAAUACCUCUUUCCUACAUCGAAGAACAAUAUCAAUAGUCUAUCAGAGGAGAUUAUUUUGCCUUAUUUCAGUGCUGCUGAUAGAAGCAGUGUCACCUGCUGGGAGGUGACCAGCCCAAGGCAGGAGUGGGGUGUGAGUCAGCAGGUGCCCGUGUCCAGCAGCAAACAUGAGUCAGCACCGGCCGCUCCGCAGCUCCUGGAGGCUGCUCCUCUGCACCAGUGACCUCACCUGACCAGCACUGCAGGCUGCCUCCAGCACUGCUGUCCUUCUAAAAACAGAGCAGAGGAAAUGGGUUGUAAGUUUAAAGAGAAAAAUGUAUUCCUUGUUAAGGUUGCAAAAGAAUUGUGGAGCUUUAGUGAAGCUGCAGCAUCUGUCGGGAUAAAAAUGCAAUAAAUAAAGGUGUUGGUCUCACACUGGA